rnacentral:rRNA from 1 species
UACAGAGCCUGCAAGCGUUACUCGGAUUCACUGGGCGUAAAGGGUGCGCAGGCGGCCAAGUGUGUUAGGCGUGAAAGCCUGAGGCUUAACCUCAGAAUUGCACCUAAAACUACAUGGCUAGAGCAUUGGAGAGGGUAGCGGAAUUCACGGUGUAGCAGUGAAAUGCGUAGAUAUCGUGAGGAACACCAGAGGCGAAGGCGGCUACCUGGACAAUCGCUGACGCUCAGGCACGAAAGCGUGGGGAGCGAACAGG